AACGAACGCUGGCGGCAGGCUUAACACAUGCAAGUCGAGCGCCCCGCAAGGGGAGCGGCAGACGGGUGAGUAACGCGUGGGAAUCUACCCAUCUCUACGGAAUAACGCAUGGAAACGUGUGCUAAUACCGUAUACGUCCUUCGGGAGGAAGAUUUAUCGGGGAUGGAUGAGCCCGCGUUGGAUUAGCUAGUUGGUGGGGUAAAGGCCUACCAAGGCGACGAGCCAUAGCUGGUCUGAGAGGAUGAUCAGCCACACUGGGACUGAGACACGGCCCAGACUCCUACGGGAGGCAGCAGUGGGGAAUGUUGGACAAUGGGCGCAAGCCUGAUCCAGCCAUGCCGCGUGAGUGAUGAAGGCCCUAGGGUUGUAAAGCUCUUUCACCGGUGAAGAUAAUGACGGUAACCGGAGAAGAAGCCCCGGCUAACUUCGUGCCAGCCGCCGCCGUAAUAC
rnacentral:rRNA from 1 species